rnacentral:rRNA from 1 species
UACGUAGGGGGCAAGCGUUGUCCGGAAUUAUUGGGCGUAAAGCGCGCGCAGGCGGUUUCUUAAGUCUGAUGUGAAAGCCCACGGCUCAACCGUGGAGGGUCAUUGGAAACUGGAGAACUUGAGUGCAGAAGAGGAAAGUGGAAUUCCAAGUGUAGCGGUGAAAUGCGUAGAGAUUUGGAGGAACACCAGUGGCGAAGGCGACUUUCUGGUCUGUAACUGACACUGAGGCGCGAAAGCGUGGGGAGCGAACAGG